GGAAUCCUCCAAUAUGUGCAGAACUGUCCACACGAGGUAGAAAACCAAGCGCCAUAUUUAGGGCAAUAACCAUCACAAGAGUCAUAAGUGCUGCACACUGAACAUACAAGAGUUAAUGACUGAUCUUCACUAUGGCGAAGAGAUAGUCCAGUUUGUGAUGAGCUCAGAAAGCAUGGCUCCCAAAAGACCGAAUAAUGCUCCUGAUGCACCAACUGAAACCAUUGGUGUAUGUCCUUUGGCUUUAAUUGCAGACAUCAAGCUUCCUCCAAAGCCGGAAAGCACAUACAGCAGCCCUAUCCUCACUGUCACAUAGAAGUAUAUGAGAUUCAGUCAAUUGAUCAUAUAGAAGCUCAGUUGUUGUAUCCAUAAAAUGGAUGACUCCAGCAUGAAGCCAUAUGCAAGACAAGAAGCGCCAUCCUUCACCGUCGUCCACCACCAUUUGUAUACUAAGGGCUCCUAGUCUCUUUAGCCUGCCAGAAAUGAAGAGCAUUCAUGCAGCUCAAACGGGGGGGAAAAAAAAACUAGACUCGAGACAUUUCACUUGAAGAAAGAAAAUGAUGAAAUUGAAGAACACAAAACUAAAUAUAGGCAGAGAAAAUGAAAGAUUGAUUGUUCUGGGGAGAGACAGAUCAGAGAUGAGAAUUUCUUACGUGGGGAUGGAAGGUCCAAGGAGGGGAUUUUCCUUAAAGGGUUGAAAGGAAAGCCUCCCAAGAAAUUCAGUGAAAAGGCAUUUAUCUCCGCCGGUGGUCGACGGGCAGUCAUUGACGUACAUAGUAUACACAAAAAUCCCUAUAUCGGCCGUGAAAAUGAGGGGCAUGAGCCAAGAGCGCCAUGGCUCUGGUGCCGGUGGGGUGAAGAAGGGCGGGGAAGGUGGUGGUGGUGCAAGGUAGGGUCCAUGUGCUGUCUCGAUAUCCGAUAUCGGCCUCUUCCCCAUUGCAACGAGGAAGAGUUACACCACUGUGCCCCCACGCAAAUCACGGCGGUGGUAACAGGAGAGGAGGACGAGGAGAGAGAAAAAUAAGGUUUUUGGAUGGCUAGGAAUGACAAAAGGCCUGGUUGUUCGUUAAGUUAGGUACCUUUUCCCGCUAAUAGAAGUUGAUGAAUAGAGAUGGGCCAAAAAUUAAAAAGGAAUUUAAAUAAUAAUCUGAGAUGUCUCGUUGUACUAUAACGUAGAAAGGCAAUCCUUGAAGGAAAUAAAAAUGGGGUUUUCCAAUCGUCCCCGAUUGUU